rnacentral:rRNA from 1 species
UACAGAGACUGCAAGCGUUAUUCGGAUUCACUGGGCGUAAAGGGUGCGCAGGCGGCCGUGUGUGUCAGGUGUGAAAGCCCGGAGCUUAACUCCGGAAUUGCGCCUGAAACUACAUGGCUAGAGCAUUGGAGAGGGAAGUGGAAUUCACGGUGUAGCAGUGAAAUGCGUAGAUAUCGUGAGGAACACCAGAGGCGAAGGCGACUUCCUGGACGAUUGCUGACGCUCAGGCACGAAAGCGUGGGGAGCAAAAGGG